rnacentral:tRNA from 1 species
UUAAAUGAAACCAAAAAGAGGUAUAUUACUGUUAAUAAUAAAAUUGAAUUUUUCUUUCCAUUUAAA